UACGUAGGUGACAAGCGUUGUCCGGAUUUACUGGGCGUAAAGAGCGCGCAGGCGGUCGUUCAAGUCGAGUGUGAAAGCCCCCGGCUCAACUGGGGAGGGUCAUUCGAUACUGAUCGACUCGAAGGCAGGAGAGGGUAGUGGAAUUCCCGGUGUAGUGGUGAAAUGCGUAGAUAUCGGGAGGAACACCAGUGGCGAAGGCGACUACCUGGCCUGUUCUUGACGCUAAGGCGCGAAAGCUAGGGGAGCAAACGGG
rnacentral:rRNA from 1 species